rnacentral:rRNA from 1 species
AUUGAACGCUGGCGGCAGGCCUCACACAUGCAAGUCGAACGAGUGGCGGACGGGUGAGUAAUGUCUGGGAAACUGCCUGAUCGAGGGGGAUAACUACUGGAAACGGUAGCUAAUACCGCCUACUAUCAGAUGUGCCCAGAUGGGAUUAUCUAGUUGGUGGGGUAACGGCUCACCAAGGCGACGAUCCCUAGCUGGUCUGAGAGGAUGACCAGCAACACUGGGACUGAGACACGGCCCAGACUCCUACGGGAGGCAGCAGUGGGGAAUAUUGCACAAUGGGCGCAAGCCUGAUCCAGCCAUGCCGCGUGUAUGAAGAAGGCCUUCGGGUUGUAAAGUACUUUCAGCGGGGAGGCGUUACCCGCAGAAGAAGCACCGGCUAACUCCGUGCCAGCAGCCGCGGUAAUUC